UAGAUAGAAAGAUAGUCACGUCAGAAUAAUAGUAGACUUACUUGCAAAAAAGGACGUGUGCAUUCAAUAAUGUAAUAAUACAAAGAAUAUAUAUACAUGUAUACACACAUAUAUGUACAUACUUACAUCUACAUGUGUAUAUACAUGCAUAUCAGGGUACAGGACGUUAGAACAAUAAACUACAGACAACGGAACGAACACAUAGGAAAACGGAAAGCCACUUGGAAUAUCCCUUCAUCAGCUAGAUAGAUAGAUAGAUAGAUAGAUAGAUAGAUAGAUAGAUAGAUAAAUAUAAAAUAUCAGUCAGAAAGCCAAUAUGCCAAAGCUCUCAAAUAAAGUCCCUUGUAAUAUUUGUUUCACUUGACCUUUCACAGACGAUCCCUUGUCACUGGUAGCAUCAUAAAUGCAGUGAACUUGCAACCAACGAAGCUAACAAUCAGAAAAUAGAAUAUCAUCGCUAAAUAAACCAUGUUUCCUUACUGAAGAUUUUGAAGAUGGGGUGACCCUCAGAGAUGUCAUUGGACUGCGGCCAUGCUGGGGCACCGACUUGGAUGGUUUAGCUGAAGAAAUCAACUCGAGCAAUAAUUUUUUUUAUAAGUCUGAUACACAGCAGUAUGCUCUCCAGAGCACAUUCGGAGAAUACCCAAAUGCACUUCAACACUACAGGCCAUUUCAUCACUUAUUUAUCAGUGUACAGCAUCUCCACAGACAAUCAAUCCACAUGCACAAGGAGACAGAGGGAACAACACUUUAUAUUCAAACUCGAUCACAUGUCAUUGACAGGUUUAACUGAAUAUUUUUCCUUCUCCUACACUUAGUUCAUUAAACCCUUACUUUGCCUACUUGUUCUCAUUUCAUUACUCUUUCCUUCUUCCUUCUCAAACUGUUUCUCCUACAGCUUUUUGUUCAAGUAUGAAGCUCGCGUGAUCUUGUGUUCUUCAUCAGUUGCAGCCAGUUGUUUUUUUUCUUCCUUUCAUUUUUUUUUUAAAUCUAAAGGAUAUAAAACUCAGCUGUCUUUCAGUUAUUUCUCUCUUUUCAAUUUUCCCUUGAAAAAGGGAAAUGGUGGACUUUCCACUACCAUCUCCUCCCCGUGGAAAAUUUACUCUAUCAUUUUUAUUAAUUAUAUUGUAUAGACACACACAU